rnacentral:rRNA from 1 species
UNUGACUUGAGUGCAGAAGGGGAGAGUGGAAUUCCAUGUGUAGCGGUGAAAUGCGUAGAUAUAUGGAGGANCACCAGUGGCGAAAGCGGCUCUCUGGUCUGUCACUGACGCUGAGGCUNGAAAGCGUGGGUAGCGAACAGGAUUAGAUACCCUGGUAGUNCACGCCGUAAACGAUGAGUGCUAGGUGUUAGGCCCUUUCCGGGGCUUAGUGCCGGAGCUAACGCAAUAAGCACUCCGCCUGGGGAGUACGACCGCAAGGUUGAAACUCAAAGGAAUUGACGGGGGCCCGCACAAGCGGUGGAGCAUGUGGUUUAAUUCGAAGCAACGCGAAGAACCUCACCAGGUCUUGACAUCCCGAUGCUAUUCUUAGAGAUAGGAAGUUACUUCGGUACAUCGGAGACAGGUGGUGCAUGGUUGUCGUCAGCUCGUGUCGUGAGAUGUUGGGUUAAGUCCCGCAACGAGCGCAACCCUUAUUGUUAGUUGCCAUCAUUAAGUUGGGCACUCUAGCGAGACUGCCGGUAAUAAACCGGAGGAAGGUGGGGAUGACGUCAAAUCAUCAUGCCCCUUAUGACCUGGGCUACACACGUGCUACAAUGGUCGGUACAACGAGUUGCGAGCCGGUGACGGCAAGCUAAUCUCUGAAAGCCGAUCUCAGUUCGGAUUGGAGGCUGCAACUCGCCUCCAUGAAGUCGGAAUCGCUAGUAAUCGCGGAUCAGCACGCCGCGGUGAAUACGUUCCCGGGCCUUGUACACACCGCCCGUCACACCACGAGAGUUUGUAACACCCGAAGUCGGUGAGGUAACCUUUUAGGGGCCAGCCG